rnacentral:rRNA from 1 species
UACGGGGGGGAGCAAGCGUUGUUCGGAUUUACUGGGCGUAAAGAGUGCGUAGGCGGUUUUCUAAGUUUGGUGUGAAAUCUCCCGGCUCAACUGGGAGGGUGCGCCGAAGACUGGAAGGCUUGAGUAUGGGAGAGGUAAGCGGAAUUCCUGGUGUAGCGGUGAAAUGCGUAGAUAUCAGGAGGAACACCUGCGGUGUAGACGGCUUACUGGACCAUAACUGACGCUGAGGCACGAAAGCGUGGGUAGCAAACAGG